AUUUUCGCCAUUUCCUGAAUUCCAGUUCAGAGAAUUUCAGAUAUGAUCAGCACUUUGCACAACAAUCUGAGAUGCAUUCCAAAAGAGAAGUCCCAGUGUUUUGUUAUUGACUUCUGGAUCUCCUCCUGCCUCAGCCAUGGUCAUUCUCCAUUGUUAAGGUCUCACUAUGUAAUUCAGGCUGGCCUCAAACUCAUGGCA